rnacentral:lncRNA from 1 species
CCACUUAAUUACACCCUGUGAAUUCCUGCAUUUUAUGCAUUGCACUCUGUGAAUCAUUCAUUAUUCUCGUAUUUUAAUCUUCACCAUCCAUAAAGUUUAUGAUCUUACAUUCCUUUUUUUUUCUUUUUUUUUUUGAGAGAGAGAUAAGUAGUACGCUACCCGCUUCGUUUUAUUUUAUGUAGAAAUAAACUUAGCUGGAAAUGUGAAUCAACAUGAUCUUACAUUUCAUGCUUCGUAGUACGCAAACUAUUCAUCUUUCAUACUUUAAUCUUCACCAUCUUCUGAGUGAUAUCAUUCUGAGUGAUAUCAUUUUUUUGUUUUUCUUUAUUUAUUCUAAAACUAUAGUGAUACUAUCGUGAAUGGACAGUAAGAAUUACAAUUUACCGAAAAGAAGGCAGAUGUCUAUAGCUCAUAGACAUUACAGGAGUUACAAGAGACUGAAAUCUAGCUCUCAAGUUCUCUUUGGAUGCACAAAUAAUUUGUUCAGUAAUGUUUUCUUUAUUCUUCUAGAAAUUUAUAUGUUUAUUGAUAAAGAGCUAGUGUAAUCUAAUAUUAAGAAUUUGAUAUUGCAUUUGGUCAUCAAGUCAUUUUUUUGGAUUAGAUAAAUUAAACCGUAGGUGAAAUAAGUUAUCCUAUCAAAUCAUGGAUAGCAAAAUUUUUGAAGAAAUAAAAAUCAAACCCCUCACUUAUAAUCAUAUUAGUAAAUUUUUAUACAAAAUAAGUUAUUAUUAUUUUUAUAAUAACUUAUUUCAACAUCCAAACAAGAUCUUAAUUUGUAAUGAAUAAAGAAGACUCUCAGAUCAAUUUCUUGAAGUAUUUAGAAGUAUUUAGAAACCAAUUUUCAAAUCUUUUCGACAUCAUUGAUCUAAUGAUCAAAGGGUUUCAAAAUUUAUAAUUUUAAUGGUCAAUAUGAGGCGUUUUCUAAUUUAACAGUGUAAAGAUAUUCAAAUCAAUUGAAUUUUGGUUAGAAAAUUCUUUAAACUAUUUAAAACAAGAUCUAUACUCUCGAUCUUGAUUGCAAGAUUCCUAUCAUUACUUUUUAGAGGAUAUUUAUUUUCAACCGUUCAUUUUUGUAUCCACUUGAUGAAUAAGAAAAUAAUAUUGAAAAAAUAUAAAAUUUGAUUUCUAGAUACUUCAAGUGGUAUAAAUCAUGUUCAACGAUACCGAUCGUUAAUUUGGAGGCUCCAUAAUCGAAAAUAAAUCGGUGGCAACGAAGUCCGUUUGUCAUCGAUAAUAUUCCAGCUCAAUUCUAUUUAUAUUAUAUGUAUAAAUAUCUAUAUAUGCUACCUUUUUUUGCACUGUUGAUGUCAUUAAUUUGUCCAAGCAUAGAGACACAAAGUGGGAAUUAACUUUAGCGGGCUAUGCUCAAAAAUGAUUUUUUAAAAAAAUAAAAAAAACCUGAAGGAGGCAAAUACAUAAGCCAAAGUUAUUUUGUUCUUGUUUGUUCGUUUUUUCACCUAUAAGACAAGGUGAUCUUCUACAACUGCAUGCAUAAGUUUCUGCAAGUUUGGUUUCAUAGACAGUGUUUGUUUGUUUUUGUUUUUUCUUUUUUCACCUAUAAGACAAGGUGAUUCUUUGUACAACUGCAUGCAUAUAUAGGUUUCUGCAAGGUUGUUUAAUUUCUUAGUAGUUGAUUUAGAUUUAAUUCACUAAAACGUUAUAAUGCUAUGUCUUUUAAUUAAGUUAUGAUGGAUUCAAUAUUGUUUAAAAUUAACCCAUAUUUCUCUUAUUUAGGACAUGCGUUGGAAUUAAAACAUGCACUAUUAAUGCUGCAUCUUAUGACUCCUUGCAAUAUCUUAUGUUACAAAAAAAGAUAAAAAAAAAGUAUGAACACUUCCAAAAGCUUGAAAUCAAACAACUUUAGUUCCAACUUCAUCUCACAGCAAACAUAUAUAUAACUAAAUCUUCUCUACACCUACAAGCUACCGUACAAAGUUGUUGUUUAAUUUAAAGUACAACAAAUUAAAACAAAUCGUGAUUAACAUAAUAACACGAGACAAUUGAUGACAAUACAUAAACUGAUCAAAGCCCGGUACAUAAAAUAGGGCCAAAAGAGUAGAUCACACAUCGAUGCUCCACACACUCGUAACUCCAGAACCAACAAAAGAACAUGGUAGAAACUCUUGCUACAUAACUAUCAGUCAAAAGACAAAGAAAAAAAAAAACUUAGUAGCUAGCUAGAGAAUCUUAUAGUUCUUAUCAUCUUCCCGACUUACUUCUUAUUCUUCGUACUUCCUCUUACACCACAAAUAGAUAUAAUCACCACACUAGUAGUAGAAAAAACUCUAAAAACUCGAAGAAACGAACCGGCAAUGAUCAGCCGCGAAUAAGUCCGCAAGAUAGAGCCAUUAACAAGAUUGCUGCGUCCCUUUCAUCUUGUGGGAAUACUUGGUAUUGGAAGGCCGAGCUCUUGCUCAAACUUAUCGUGAAAUCAUCGAAGCGAACAUUCUUUUGAGCGGAUCCCGUGGUGAACUUGCAUCGCUUCUUAAAUGGCACAGUGCGAUCAUCGCUCGGCCGCUUCUCUUUUCGCGCCUUCGUGUGCACUUCGUUAGGGAUCAAUCCACCAUUUGCAGCAGCCGCUGCCGCAGCCAUCGCCGCUCGUCUCGCCUUCCUUUGUCUUAUACCACAAGCAUUACAGAGUGACUAUACCAAAAGAACACAAUAGAAAGAGAUCGAUAAUUCCUUUAUUGAAACUUGAAAUUGUUUAAGUUCAUAAGACUAAGCGAUCAUACCAUACAAUAGAAAGAGAUCGAUAAUUCUAGUUCUAUAUAGAUAUAGAACUAGAAUGAUAUAUACUUAGUUGGAGAUAAAUUCCUUGAAACUUGAAAUUGUUUAAGUUCAUACGACUAGUUAGCAAUCAUAUAUAGAGAUAGAAUUCGAAUGAUAUUAUACCUUGGGUCCGCGAGGGCCGCUCCUCCACAAAGGAGUCUUGGUUGUGUUGCAAUCGGAGCAAACGCGGAUUAUACCAUUCAGAGAAUUAUGGGUGUGGUUGCUCGUGGCGCCUUCUUGAUUGACCUCGGUUUGAUCUUGAAGUACUCCCUGCGCAAUUCUUCUAGGUUUAUUUGUAACCAUAUGAUCGGAAUUCAUCAUCUUCUUAAUAAAUCGCAUCUUCGACGGCAUCCACUUGGUCGUGCCAUUGGGAUCAUCUUUCUCGGUAGCGUACCGAUCGUGCAACUGUACUUGAUCCUUGUUAGCCGGAAAUGAUACCGGAUGAUCGGUUGAUCGGAUGAACAAGAACUGUUCAUUAGGCUACAAGAACAAGUAGAAAUGAAGGGGAAAAAAAAAAAGGACCAGAGAUCAUGUAAUUAACAAUCAAACUCAAGUGCACUUUUAGUGCAAGGACUCUUGAUCCCGAGAAGAAUUAUUAUGUUGGUGUUACCUCCUUUUGGUGUACUUGUUGACUGAAGUGGUGAGCUCCAUUGUUUGCUACAUGAUCUUGGGAAGUGUUCAUGAAAAAGCUAUAUGAUAGUGAAGUAUCAUUAACUAGGGUGAGAGUGGGGAGACCAUGAACUCGACCUUGAUCUCCCUCUUCCCGAGGGAUACUGUAAACUUGGCUCAUGUAGAAGAGAGAGAGAGAGAGAGAGAGAGAGAGAGAGAGAGAGAGAGAGAGAGAGAGGGAGGGAUCAGGGAGGUCUAUAGGACCAGUACUAUAGCUAAGGGAUAGGGGAAGGGAGGAGAUAGAGGAGGAGGCAACAAAGAAGUGGGACGAGCUAGCGAGGAUUGAUCAAGUAGUGGUCACUUGCAGGGUAAAAAUGGCUUUUAUAAGGAAAACCAAAAAAGCCAAUGAGGGGCUAGAGAAAGGUAUUCACGUGAUCUUUUACUGAGUGAGAGGGACACCACAUAGCACAAAAAGGAUGGUCAAAAGAUUAAAAAAAAUAUAAAAAUAAAUAAAAUACAAGAGAAACUUACACCUACAACCUUACAAAUGUUGGGAGUUGCUUUAGUCAAAAUAUAAAGACAAUUAUCUGUUUAUAGCAGUAGCUAAAUUCAUUGCAUGAAUGAAUGAAAUAGAUAGCGUGCUAACUUUUUCUCAAAAAAAAAAUUAUCUGUCUAUAACUCAGAAACGCAAUAUUAUCGUAUGCAUCUCUUUAAAAUUCAAAAUGUUGCAAAUUACUAUCCUUUAGCUAUUGCUUAGUUGACCAUUUCUAAUUAAAUGUCUAUUUUGCUCUUAAUUUAAUUUAACUCUUAAUUUACUUUAAUGUUCUUCUUACUUGAUUUUACACACAAUCUUAAAUGAAUCCUCAAUCUAGAUAUAUUUUUUUUCACUCCAUGUUCUUAAAAUAUAUUAUAGGUAAAAAUGUACAAAACUUACAAGAAUUAUGUGUCAUUUUGAUUUGGCUACCCAACCUAUCAAGAUUUUUGAUUUUAUUAUCCGAACUUUCAGUUUGUCUGAUUUGAGCUAGUCAUCGACAUUUUGACUUUAAAAUUUAAGCUAAUUAUCUAUUUUAAUAUAUUUAUAGUUACGAGAAUUACAUGAAAUAUACAGUAAAUUUGUAAAAAUAAAUGACGCAUUCAAAUUUUGAAGACAAAGUAUUAUUGGCUGACCCCAAUAUUCAAAUAAAUUGAAAGAUUGGAUAAUAAAUUUAAAUUUUGAAAGGUUUGAUAAUUAAAUCAAAAUAGUCUAUAGAUAAAAUAAGCUCAAUACAUUUUUACCUAUAUUAAUUGCAUAAUUUAUUUAUAAUAUAGUUAGAGCAAUACGACUUGUACAUUCAAAAGUGGAUAUAAAUCUUCACCAUACCCAUCCAAAAGUUAAUUUUAUCACAUUACUUUUAUAACAACAACCUUAAUUUUUCACUCGCAAUGACUCAAAAUUUUAUUUCAAUCUUUGGAUGGAUGAAAUUAAGGUUAGAUUUACACACUAUUUUUGGGUAUAUACGUAGCAUAUAUAUCUCUCAAUGUUUAUCUACAUACGAAAUAACCAAAUAUCAAUAUAUAAUCAACCUAUCACAAUUAGAAGGAGCUAGCGUGGGUGCAAGUUUUUAAAGUUUAAGAUACAUAUAAUUUUUUUGAUUUUUAAAAGAUAAGUACGCAAUGAUUAAACUAUGUACAAAAUGCUCAAAAAACGGGUCCAUGUUUUCCACUGUUUACAACAUUCCAAGUUGCCGCAUUACUUGUACGUACUAGUGUAACAGGCUAACAGCCCUAGCAUAUUACCCCUCUCUCUCUCUCUCUCUCUCUCUCUCUCUCUCUCUCUCUCUCUCUCUCUCUCUCUCUUACUGCUGUGUGGGAACGUAAUAGCCAAAAAACAAUAAAUACAACAGCAGGCAAAGUGACAGGGGGGACCCAUUCACCCAGCCUAAAAGCUUAAUCUAAUAUUUGUAAAUUUACCAUGCAAAGUGAGAGCAAGUAAUUAAGAAGGACUCUAACUACUUUUUCCUAACCUCUACUGUUUAUUUUGGUUCUCCUCUGAGCUCUUUGUAAUAAAGGUGGGUAGUAGAAGCUGUUGAAAGGGAUAUAUCUUCCACAAUACCAUAUGCCUCCAAAGCACAAAAGCCAAACUGGGCAAGUUGUUGACUCUCGUGAUCUCUUGGGGCCAAAGAGAGGCAAUGUACUAGGAAUUUCAGUGUCGGAGAGUGUACAUCAUCUUAUUAAUUAUUAGGUUAACUUUUCAAUUGUGACUCUUUUAUUCUUGGAUAGCAUGGUUAAAUUGUGUUUCACAAGAAGUAAUCAGAUUUUAGUUGAAAAAAUUAACUUAAGUCAAUAUUAAUUGUUCCCGAGAAGUGCUAAGUCCGUAAUCAUAAAGGUGUUGUAAUCUUUACAACUUCUCAUCCAAGGAUUUAAAAAUUUACUAACUUUUUUUUUAGUUUGGAAAAUUCUAGAUCUAAAACUAAAAGUAAUUGUAAUCCGUGCAACUCCUCGUCCAAUGAUGUUAAGAGUUUAUUAAUCUAUUUUUUUAGUGGGAAAAAAAAAUGUGAUAAGAUUAGUGAAGAAAAGAUAGCUAUUGAUCAAUCGAGAUUGUUGCAGCAUUAUAACCCAAAGUGGAUUGUAGACCGAACACUCCUCUUCUAGCUUUUAGUGAAAAAAGGAAAAAGAAUGAUAAAACUAGUAGAAAAAAAUGUGGUUUUAGAUAGUUGAGUUGUAGGAAACAUCCCACUUUGUGUUGUAGACCUGGCAUUACUCACUCUUGAGAGGCAUAGUUUGGUAAAAAUUUCGAAUGUAGAUCUUAUUAGACAUGUGAUGAUACCAAAUCAACUUACAUUUAUGGUUCAAUUAUUUAAUCAUAAUUUUUCUUACCAAAUUAAUUUCGUGGGUAUGUCGAUCCUAAGCCUUCUUAGUUGCAAGAGUUUCUUCGUUUGAUUCUCACGUUAGUUAUUAAUAUAAUGCAAGAAGCCAAAGUUUGGAUCCUCACAAAAUAAUAGGAAACUAUACCUGGUUCUUAUGCUAUGUGUUUGGCAUCGCUUUUGUAUCUACUUUCAACUAAAUAAUGCCUUGUAGAGUAUUUAGUAAGAAAAAGUGAUAGAGCUUUUAUGGAAUUAGGAGACUGAAAAGAAAUUCAAAUCCACAAAAGUAGGAUUAUAAUUUAGUAGAAUUGUUGCAAAGAUAAAUUAUUAGAGAAAUAUUUAUUUAGUAACAUUUGGGGAUGAUCAAUUUAGCCCCGCUAUAUAUAUACUUUUAUCCUUAGAUGUCUUGGGCUAGUGGGAUAGAUGGAAUAGUAUUUGAUCCAAGAAUUAGAAAGUUGGUAGCUAAUAGUUUAUCUACCAUUGAUAGUAUACAGAUGAACUCUCUCUCUCCCUCUCUCUCUCUAUAUAUAUUGAGAGAUAGAGAGUAUAACACUCUUUUCACCAACCGCAUCUAGUGCGGUUGGCUAAGAAUUCGAUGGUUGAUAUUCGAGAUUCUAAGUUCGAAGUUGGAUUACUUUGCAUUUUUCAUCUAAGUUGAUUUUAAAAAAAUGAACGGGAAAUAAACACAACAUGAGAAACACUGAAACGAAACUUACAUUUUUAGAACUCGGGAUCACUUUUCUAGAGUUGUUGUAGAUAAGUCUCACAGAUCUUUCUCGUUACCAGAUAUUCUUUAUAAAUUAUUAGUGUCCAAAAAUAAAAACAAAAUCACAGCCCAACAGACCUAAAAUCUCUUGUCUACAGUAGGCCCUAAUGAUACGUACAGCAGGCGAUAAUACUGUGUCUAUAUAUACCUGUGUCAGGAGCUUCUAUUUGAAACAUAAAACAACAUUUUGCUUCACUUUUUUAACCCAUUGGGCUAAACAUUUGUUUUGACUCCGAUUCUGCUGCAAUACUUAGUUUUCAUGUGAUAUCGUGCAAUUGAUCCGAAAUAACCAUACAAAUCAAUUUUAAUUCUUUCAUUAAAAAGAUUUCUAAUUUUUCACCAUACAUUAAUUAUCUCGUUCUUCAUGUGAUAUCAUGCAAUUGAUCCGAAAUAACCAUACAAGUCAAUUUUAAUUCUUUCAUAAAAAAGAUUUCUAAUUUUUCACCAAACAUUAAUUAUCUCGUUCUCAUCAUUCUGCUUUCCACUGGUAACAAUUUUCCUUUUUGACUUGUGAGAGAAAAGUGCGUAGCCCCGCUUCAGCUUCGUUCCUUUUUUAAAAAUGAACUCUAUUAAAAAUGUAAAGUAACUCAGGUUCGAACAUAGAAUGGUCAAUCGCGCUAAGCACGGUUGGUUACUGUAGCAAAUUUUUUAUACGGGCUUGAUUUUUAAUACCUUGAGAUAAGUAAAUUUAAUUUUUCUUUUCGAAUUAACAAGCUACAGGCCCAGUAAAAGUCAUUUUGUUUUGAGAGAUAUAUAUCGUUUUGAUUCAGCUCCAAAUUAAUUACAUGCAGUGCAACUAACAAAUAUCUAAUAAAGAAAACACAAGUGGUACGUACAGCUAAUUAAUAUUAAAAGCAAGCGAUCGAUAAGCUCGCAAUGAAAUGGACACAUAAACACCCCUCUACUUCAAGAUCAUGGAGCUUCUUAUCUGAUGGAUCUCUUAGUAGAUAAUGUCCUCGAUCUCCUUGAUCACGGAACGAGCACCGGAUUUGUAUGAUCAUAAGUGUGGAUACGUAUAACGCAUUUGAAUCACUCCCUGGAGCACAGAGAGGGGGAGAGAGAGAGACAGAGAGAGGCUACAAAAAUUUCACUGCCACAAUAUGUUAAGGUGGUAGGGCUCCUUUGAUCGAGUGUGUCCAACUUAGUGUAGCUUUCAAGUAGCUCUGCAAAUCCAAAGGGGCAACAUGUCUUGGUUGCUACAGGACACUCCCCCCCAUACUACCAUUGGAUCCUCUCUCUCUCUCUCUCUCUCUCUCUCUCUCUCUCUCUCUCUCUCUCUCUCUCUAUAUAUAUAUAUAUAUAGAUCUCUCUACAGAACAAGAAAUUAUUGCAUGCACCAUGGUGUACAAACUAGCUAGCUCGGGUCCCGAAAACUCCAGGCUAUAGGCCAUAAAAUGUAAAUCCAAACAGUUAGAUAUGCCAAAUAUAUAUAUAUAUAUAGAGAGAGAGAGAGAGAGGGGGAGAGAGAGAGAAAACAAGUAUUUUAUAACCGAAUUCUAAAUAGAACUAGAAUAGAAUACUAUUAAUAGCACUAAAUCAUUGAUAGAAUACUAUUAAUACCACUAAAUUAUUGAUGCGAUUAGAUUUUUAACUCUUGGAUGAAGAAAUGUGCGGUUAGGAUGAUAAUGAUUUUCUAACUGCACAUCCCUCCAUCGACUAUAAAAUGUAGAUCCAAACAGUUAGAUAUGUUAAAAAAAAUAUUAUUAUUAAUUACAAAACAAAAGAAGGUUUUGAAGAAUUAUGAACUUUGAGAUCUAUGUUUUGGAAGUGUUUUAGGUCACACCAAACGCUUUUUGCUAUUUUUUGAUAGAAAGAUUAAUUGCAAGCUGUCUAUUGGUUGGUCUUUUUUCUUUUUCUUUUUUUUUAAAAAGGAGCUUUGAUAAAAAUGUAAAAUAAUUAUUAGACUUCAAACUUAAAAUCUCGGAUACUGACAACCAAAUUUUUAACCAGUUGCGUUAGGUUUGAUCAGCAGUCCACUUUGAUUUAGAUUUUAAGACCUCCGGCUAAACUGAAGUUUUGUUGACUUUUGGUGUAUACACAAUGGUGCAUGCAAUCUUUAAAAGAUGCUCUCUUUCCUUCCCCGUCUCUCUCGCUGAACCAACCACACACUCAGUCCUAAAAAAUCAUUAUAAUCCUAAUUGUACAUCCCUUCAUCGAAGGGUCAAAAAUUUAAUAGCACCAAUGACUCGGUGUUGUUAAUAGUAUUCUAGUCUAGCUCUAUGUAUAUAUAGAGGAUUGAUCUUCUAUACUUUUAAAAAUACCAAAACUAUAUAUAUAUAUUUAUAUACUAAUUAUGAAUGAAAUUGUGAUACCUCAGGUAGUUCUAUAUAUAAGAUAUAAUAAGACUAAGCCUCUUAACCCGACUAUAACAUUUUUAGGUCCAAAAGGUUAAGAAAGUUAAGCGUGUUAGGAUUAAAAUAAUCCUAGAAUAGGUGACUCUCUAGAAAGUUGGGGCGUCACAGUUGAUAUUAAAGCCAAUUACCAGCCGGAAGUAUGAGAUGAGCCUCAGUUGUACUAGAUUAUACAUAGGGAAGAGGGAGAUUCUCGUGCUGAUGAGAGUUAUAGGUAGAACGUGGUUUUUCCAUAAAAUCUGUUAAGGCUAGCGAGACGAGUCUCACAUCAUAACCUGAUUUUUAUGAGUCUGAAACUGAUGAGGAUCUCAGAGCUUAAAAGGAGGGAGAAUAUAAAUAUAAUAAGACUAAAUCUCUUUACCCGAAUAUAGUAUUUUGGACCGUUGUUAGGCCUAAAAAAUUAAAAAAAUUAAGCGUGCGAGGGCUAAAAUAAUUUUAGAAUUGAUGACUCUUUGAAAAGUUGGGACUUCACGGAAAUGUACAUAAGUAGGAAUGUCGGUGGUAGCAUGAAGAAUUGAGCAAUUAAUAAAUAGCCAAAAAACAAAUUCCGCCAUGAACAGUAAAUUUGUUGAAAGGUCACUAAAAGGUACGCACUUUAUUUUAAGAAUUGGGUAUUAAAGAAGAAAAGAAUCCCCAGGCAUUAAUUUCUUUGUGUUCGGUAAUUAUUCUCUUCUUCCUAGGUUUCUCAACUAGCUAGGAAAUAUUUUAAUAAAAAAAGAAUAAUAAAAAUUAAAGAAAAUUAAAUUGAGUUUCUCUCAUAUUUUAGCCAUCAAUUCCACUUCAAAUUCCAUUAAAUUUGCUCUAAAAGAAUGUUGAACGUUGACACAUCUUGGACAAGUACAGAGUUCGAAUGAGUUUUAUAUUCUCUUUAUGAGUAACGAGGAGAUCGAAUGUUGUGGUCAUAUCGAUUUUUCUGCACUUAAAAGCCUGCUUAAAAAGUGGAAAAAAGUGGAGAACUAAAACAUUUUUUAUAGGAAAAAAAAAAUCUCAAUUAUAUAACAUUUAAUAAAAAAGCAAUAUACACAUAUAUUUGAUAUCACACCAAAACAUUAUCUUACAAGUGUAUUUGGUUCGCGUUAUUUUUUUAGAUUUUUACUAACUUAAUAGGAAGAAAAAUAAUAUGACAACAUUUGGUUAAAUAUAUCAAAAUAUUUUAAUCGACAAUGAUGGAUUCCUUUUGGAAAUAAGGUUCAAUUAAACCAAAAUAAUAAUCCCCUUUUUUUUUUUUGGGAGAUAGCACUUUUAUAUUAAUUGAUUAAGAUAAUUAUAAAUUGUCUAAUUCGACCCACACUCUUUUUCUUUCUCUCCGUCCAAAAGCCAUUUGCUAAAUUGUCCAUUACUCACUUUUUCCUUUACUCUCUAAUCUCAUCUUUCUCCUCUCUCACCUCAUCUCUCCGUCAGUUCUACGCGCUUCAAAUCUAUCUCUCUCUCUCUCUCUCUCAUUUCAAUUCUCUCUCCUUUUAAUUUCAAAUCUCUCCCUGUCACUCCCUAUUUCUCUCUUUCUAAACUAAGUUCCUCCAAUUUGACAUAAAAACAAAUUUCUUAUAACUGUUGAAAAGAAAAAAGAAAAAGGUGCUCAUAUUACCGCUAACAUUUUCUAAAAUUAAUUGACAAAACGAUAUAUGAAUUUUAUUUUCUCAAUAAUCUCAAAUAAUAUGGCUGUGCAAAACAUUGAAUUAUACAUUUUCAAUAAUAGAAUAAGUAGCAAUUAAAUUCUUGAAAAUCUCUUCAUUCUUGAUAAUCUUUUACAGCGCAAAAUAAAUACACUCUAAAAAUUUUCUGGAUCUGUAUUUUGUAUAUGACAAUUACAAAGAUGAUAUAGUUUUUCAAAUUUUACUUAUAAUAAUAACCAACAAAUCAUCAAACAUAACAUUAAGGGUGCGUUUGGUUCGCAUUAUAAAAGAUUAUUAGGAAUAAAAGAUAUCCGAGAAUCUUAUUACUAUUCAUCCUAUUACUAAGAAUGUGAAAUUCCUGUGUUUGGUUCACACGGUAAUAUUAAUUAGCCAUGUUAUUUAAUAUUACAAAUAUUAUACAAUUAAUUUAUUUAUUUAUUUAUUUAAUUUUAGAUAAUGUUACCAAAAGUUUCAACAUCUUUUUAGAAAAAAGGGAGAGAGAGUAUAAGUUAGAGAGAGAGAGCAUAAUUAAAAAAAUAAAAAGAAAAUAUAGUCGAAAUUAGAGAGAGUGAGAGAGUUGAAAUUUUAGAAAGAGAGAGAGAGAGAAAGCUUCGUUUAGAGAGAGAAAAAAAGUUGAAUUUUAGAGAGAAAAAUAAAUUUAGAGAGAGAUAUAAGGUUAGAGUGUAAAGAAAAAUAAUAUCAAUUAGCCGGCGAGUAGGAAGAAAGAAAAAGAUUAGACAUAUUAUGAUUAUCCCAAUCCAUUAAUAUGAAGAUACCCACCCUCCCUCAAGGGAAUGAAAUAAGUACUUUUGGGUGAAUCUUAUUCCCAAGUAAAUCUAAUAUUACCAACUAGAUUACUUAGUGCGUUUAGCCAAACACCGUCAUAUUUUUUUAUUCCCAUUGGAUUACUAGAAAUCUUUAAAAGAUAGCACGAAUCAAACGCACCCUAAGACAAAUUAUAUAGAUCAUCACUAAUAGUGUGUACAUUUAUAUACAUAUAAUAUUGUGUGUGUACAAGGUGGACACAUCUAAUUUAUCUGAGAUACAUGAAGUAUUAUUCUUUAUCCCAAGAUCUGGUUGGUCUUUUCGGAGGCGCAGAAUACGUGGUCCAUGGGGACACACGCCUCUCUAACCACUUGAUGUCCUAAAAUACUAGAAAAAGAAUUGAAAUAAAUUAAAAUAAAACCCUCUCUAUCAGAAGGAUAAGGAAAGGAAAUACAUCGAUUUAUUUUAGGGUUCAACAAGCGCCACGUACUUCUCUAACUCCGUCCAUUUGUUACUGUUUUGGCCCUAGUUACCAAUCAACUUCUCCCAGCUCCUCUUAUGGUUUAGAUUCCUCUUAAUUAUUAGGUUUGAUAAUUGUAUCACUAAUUCCAAACAGUUACCCAAAUUUUUAGUUUAAUUUUUCAAUCUUAAUUUCUAUAGUUAAGCCCCCCUGGCGUUUAUUAACUAUUUUUGGAUUAAGACUAUUACUCAAAUCGCCCGUUAAAUUAUUUGCCACGUCAGUAUCAAAAUUAACAAAAUUUUUUACGUGAGGACCGGAUUGAAAUAAGUAACGGCUGUUAAGAACACAAUUAUAAUCUUUACAAGACUAAGAACUAAAAUCAAAUUUUGGGUUGAGGUUGGGCCAAUUGUAUGAUAAAUCUUCUAUUUAAGAAUUAUGGGAUUGGGAGAAUUUUGGUGAUAUAGUAGUGAGUAGUGGAAUUGUCAAUCCAAUUUAGUCAAAAAGGUCAAUUUCAAUUGUACAUCUCACAAAUUAUAAAUCAGAGACAACCUACAAAAGUUUGACAAAAGACAAUGAUAUCCAAUAAAAUUCUUUUCUCCAUAAAUAAAUAUAUAUAUUUUUUCAUACAUGUCUUUUUCAAAGGACAUUUAUGAAAACUAGCAAUAGAUUGUCAAUAGCAUUUGUGAUAUUCUUCAGGAACAGAAUUAAUUAUUCCUGAUGUACAAACAUGACCAACCAUGAUAUAUUCAAUUUUUCGAGGUAUUCAUAUAGGCCUUUUAGGGAAACCAAUUAUGAUGAAAAAAAUUAAAUUAAUUUAAUAAAAAAAAACAGCAUGCCUAUGCGGGCCUUCUUAAAUAUAUGUGUAUAUAUAUAGAGAGAGAGAGAGAGUUGAGCUGGAAUACAAUCGAUAGCAAAUAAGUUCUGUUGUUAUUCAUUUGUUUUCAAUGAUGGAGCCUCCAAAUCGAUGAUCGGCAUCGUUGAACAUGAUCUAUACCACUUGAAGCAUCUAAAAACCAAAUUUUAUGUCUUUUCGAUAUUAUUUUCUUGUCCAUAAAUUGGACGCAAAAAUGAACGGCUGAAAAUUAGUAUCUUUUAAAAUAUAAUAAUAGAAGUUUUAUAAUCCAGAUUAAGAGUAUAGAUCUUGUUCUAAAUAGUUUAAAAACUUUUCUAACCAAAAUUUAAUUGAUUCAGAUACUUUACGCCGUUAAACGAGAAAACGUUUUAUAUCGACCACUAAAAUUAUAACUUUUGCAACCCUUUGAUCAUUAGGUUGAUAAUGUCGAAAAAAUUUAAAAUUUGAUUUCUAAAUACUUCAAGUGGCAUAGAUCAUAUUCAAUGAUGCCGAUCAUCGAUUUAGAGCCUUCAUCAUCAACAAUAAAUGAAUGGCAACGAAACCCAUUUGUCAUCGAUAGCAUUCCAGCUCAACUCUCUCUCUCUCUCUCUCUCUCUCUCUCUCUCUCUCUCUAUAUAUAUAUAUAUAUAUAUAGUUCUAUAUAAAGGGUGUUGUGCUAUGUUAACCAAAAUAUAAUUAUAAGAUAAUAGAAACCUCUUAAAGCGCCAGUGAGAAAGUAUUACUAAAAAAUAUGUCGCUCUUAUAUUCGAAGGUAAUACCAUGUUCUGCAUAAUGUAAGGCUGAGACAGUCGGUUACAAUAUACUUUCUAUGGUCCCACUAAAUAACCGAGAGAAACACAAUUUUACGUGCUUUCGCCCAAACUCCCAUUUGCCUACUAGCAUUACAUAGGCUAUAAUACCAAACAUCCGCUAAAAUAAUUGCAAUGAACUCAGUUUGCUUUUUGGGUCACAGCGCUGGAUGGGCUUGACCCAAUGCAGCGUUCUCUAUAUAAUGGAGUUUGCAAGCAACUUAAGCCCAAUUUACGGUCCAGGAAAGAGAUGUGGCCCAAUCAUAUGGGCCCCUUUAGGCCUUCUCCAUGGAGAGAUAGUGGGCUGGGCCCCAUGAGAGUAGUGAGAAGGAAAGUGGGCGUCAAUUACGCCUGCUUAGGCCAUUUGUUGGGCCCACAAGGAAUUAUGUGUGCGCUUGGUCCAUCAUGGACCGACACGAUAAAACUCUUCAGUGCACAAUACGCAAUUCAAAUCAUAAUAUUUCACUUCAACAUGUCUACAGUGCAUAAUACUUGCUAGACAUCAUAGCUUUUAAAACUCCCUCGUAUGUUUAAAGUUACAUUAACACCACCAAUUUUUAAAAACAUUUGUUGAUUUUAUGAUUAUGAUUUUGUCACAUUUUGAGAAAGCAGAAGAUGAAGAUCAUAAUCAAUAGUUUAAACACAAUUACCGCAAUUGACGGAGAUGGUGAACAAGAUUCAGGCAAUAAUUUCUCGUUCCACAAGAUAAGCAUUUUAGUUCUUACUAAACAAAAUCCAAGUUAUAUUUUUCUUCUACGAAAACUACUUCACUAUCCAAGGAAACAAUUCAUUGGAAUGCAAGGAAGAAAAAAGUUCAAAAAAAAAAAAAACAAAAAAAAUCGAAGAAUUCUAAAGCGUAGGCUAAACAUGUUUGUGAUUCUUAGGCAAUAACACGACAAUUCUUCACAAAAACUAUAAUAAGAUAGCGAACUUUGACGAUAAACUACAGUUAAAUCUAAGCAUCAUCAAGUUCCGGCAUCAAACAGAAAAGACAUCAUAGCCAUUAUUAUUGAAUUGUAAAGAGAUAAAGUUGGGAGGAACUCACCUUGGCGAAAGCCUCGAGAAGUUCAAAGCGAAAUUCGGGCCAGGUUUAAUUUCUCUGCAUGAAUCAAAGGAUGAGUUUAAAUAACACCGGAUUCCCUUCUAUAAAAACCAUAAAUUUAUUAGAUAUAUUCUUCAUCCAACUUGUGCAAGGAUUUAGAAGAGAAGUGCAAGGAUUUAGAAGAGAACAUCUAGUCUCAAAUAAAUAAACAGUCCUAUCAUGUAACCAAAUGUUCCUAAGACUAAUUUAGGCUUCAUUUUCCUUUCCCUUUCAAGGUGAAACUCACUUUGUUACAGUGAUGUUCUGUAACAGGAAAUAAUAAUGAUAAUAAUAAUAAUAAUAAUAAAUAAAUAAAUAAAAGCACAUUGACAUUAUUUCAAGAGAAAGGAUAAGCAGAUAUUAUCCACAUAUCACCAGAACUAGAAAAAUACAAAUAAAAGGAUUUUGUCUCUUCUAUCCGUACAUAACUUCAGGACCGAUAAUUCGUUAGUACAUAAGAAAAGUUUAGUCAUAUAAAAAUAUCAAUAAUAAGAGGGAAAGAUACAUGCAUUCAAAAUGCAUAUAGCCUGAGGCCUAAAUAAGAGGAUAUAGCAGAACGGAAUCUACGAGUCACGCUUAAUUUUGUGCCUUCAAAGUACGAACAAUUUAACUUGCCAUUUACAUGCUGAACUUUGCGCCUUUCAAAAGCAGGCAAUUUAACUCCACAGUUAUAGCAUGCUUAAUUCUGUGCCUUAACUCCUCCACAUUUACCUUCAUAAGUGAAAACCAAGUGACGUAUAUUGCUAUAUUUGCAGAACAAGAUAACAAAAAGAGGCACAAGAAAACAGAAGCUUAUGAAAGAAAGUGAUAUAUUGCAUUGAAAUACAGUACAAUUGUGAACAGUAUUUUUGUAAUCAGUGAAUGGACCACAUGCCAUUAUUGUCUUUUGCAUUUAAAUGCUGGUCUUUAGUGUGACGAUACGGCAAGAACAACUUAGAGAUUACUCUAGGCAAAUAUAACAACAGUUACACAGAGAUCUAGAAGGUGACAACACAAAGUAAAUUCAUUAAUUCAACGGUAGAUUAUGCGAGCUCAUGUAGCAAAUGGAUUGUGCAACAGAAGCAAAGAAUUGUUAGAUGUCUAAGAACAGCUAAUAGCAUUAAGGAAUGUGUAUAUAUGUCAUAUCAAAAGUUGCAGAAGAAUCAGAGUGAACAUUUACAUUUGUAAUUUACCUGAAAAGCAUUUCAUAAAUUUAAAGAAACAGCAUUCCUCAAAUAAGAAGACAAAAAGCAAAAUAGAACUAGAUGGACCAAGAACCUCUCUGUGCUGAACUCAAAUGAUAGAAGUCGCCAAAUUCAGCUUAUUGGCAAUUGCAGUGAUUAAACAAAUGUUGUUUGAAACCGAGCUCUAACUAUACGUCGCAAGGCCCUGCUUGAGAUAAGUAGAAUGGGCCAUUAUUCACGACAAUAAUUGAGAUCCACAAUUAUACCAGUAUUAAUUUCCACAAAAAGCAAGAAGUUUAUUCCCAAUCCAACUUCACCACAUCACAAGUCAGGAACUUGACAAUAGAAUUGAAGCGGGAAAUGCUGAAGAUCCGUUAUUCGGUGCUCCCUUUAACUUAAGAAUGGUAGUGAUCACAUUAUAUAUCUCCACAUUCUCGAAUGACGGCACUUUCCUUCCCCUCUCAAACUGAGGCCCGUGAGCCAUAAAAAUGGUCCUCAUCGAUGAGAAUGCAUUAUCAUAACCGUGAGCUCCUCCGCAUUCUCUACUCUUCGACCUCUUCAUCUCCACCUUAUACCCUUCUUCCAAAAUCCCUAUAAUCGGCGGGAUCCUAUAACUCUCCGAAUAAUGAAGCCGCUCUGGCAGUUUUUCUUUCAGAAACAUCUUAAGAUAAUUCCCAUUUUCGACUUUCCCCGAACUCAACCCCUCAUUCAUUUUGGCCACAACUUCAACAGUAGAAACACCCUCAGGAGGCCGGAUUGCAAGCACCGGAGUAGUCGAUUGGACCCAAUCGUGCGGGAUUUCGAUCCAGGGCGAUAGAUCGUCGAGAAAGAUCAGUUUUUUAUCGCAAGUCCCCACCAUUCCAUGAUCCCCGACUAGAAUUACAGUGACAUCCUCAAAGACCCCUCUUUUCUCGAGCCCGUCGAUCAACCGGCCCAACAUUUGAUCAAUCCGGGCGACCGCGGCGGUGAUCUGGGGAUCGUCGGGGCCAACUUGGUGGCCCUGGUAAUCCGGGUCCUCAAAGUAGAGGGUGAUAAACACGGGGAUCUCAUCGGCCGGGAGAUCGAAGUAGCCCAACACGGUGUCGACGCGCUGCUCGAAGGGGACGGAGCCAUCGUAGUGUUGGCAAUAGCGAGGGGGGCAAUCCCAGGAGCCUUUGCGCACCUCGGAUCCGGGCCAGAAGAAGGUGGCGGCGCGGAGGCCCUGGUCGGCGGCGGCCUCCCAGAGCGGCGCGUGGCUGGCCAUGGUGAAGAGCUCGCCGGAGACGGGGUCGACGAAGCGGUUGUUGAUGAUGCCGUGGUAGGCGGGGUAGAGCCCGGUGACGAUGNCGCCGAGCCACCAAUGCGGCUCGUGGCUGGCCAUGGUGAAGAGCUCGCCGGAGACGGGGUCGACGAAGCGGUUGUUGAUGAUGCCGUGGUAGGCGGGGUAGAGCCCGGUGACGAUGGAGUAGUGGUUGGGGAAGGUGAGGGUGGGGUACACGGGGAUGAGGCCCUCGUCGGCCUCGGUGCCAUUGGCGAUGAGGCGGUGGAGGUUGGGGUUGGGGGCCUUGUGCUGGUACCCGAAGCGGAACCCGUCGGAGGAGACGAGGAUCACGACGGGGCGGGGGAGCUUCGCGAGGGGCCGCGCCAAUGUCCGCUGCGGCGGCGGCGGCGGCGGAAGCUCCUCGGCGGCGCCGCCCUCGUCGGCGGAUACGGAGGUGGCGAGGACGAGGAAGCUGAAGAUAAUGGCGGAGGGAGCUCGGGAGGAAGAAGAAGAACAAGGGGACGAGGAGGAGGAGGUGGGGCGGCGGAGAGCGGUGGUAGGGUUCGACGGGUCGUCUUUGAGGGGCAGCGAGGAAGAGGGAGGAGGAGGAGAAGUGGAAGAGACGGAGAAGGAGAAAGUCGCCAUUAAUGGCGACGGAGAUUCUACCGAUUCUGGUACUGGGCGGAAUAAGAAGAAAGGAGACGAAAUAAGGAGGCGGAAUAAGUAGGGGUGAAUAGUUGGAGUUGGAGUAAAGGGUAAGGAUACGUACGGAUGGGUGCGAUUCAAUUGGUUGACAAGAUUUUGUCCGAGCCUCGUGAGAGUCCUUUGUGAGACUUGGUACAUUUUUUUUUUUUUUUUUUUAUGGGAUUCGUAGAUAUUUGGACUUUCUAUUCCAUGUUCUUAUUCGGAAUAAUACCUGAAUUAUUCAUUUGUGAAUAAACCAAAAUUGGAACACACACCAAUGAUGUGUUUUUGAUUGUUUUUCGUAGAUUCAGCUGAACAUAGGCGUGUUCAAAUACUCGAUCUCUAGAUAAAUAUAUAGAAAUUUAAUCAGGCAAAAGUAUAUUAAAUUAAAAGUAGAAAGAGUUGAUAAUAAUACCUAUUAGUCGAGUACUCGAGUGUGCCAUCUUUUUAAAUAAUCAUCUGCUCCAGAAAAGACUUUGUGCGAGAAGCAGUAUGAUGCUCCCUGCCGCACGCCUCCCGAGUUAAUUGCUAUUUCUUUAUUUUAAAUUCAUUAGAUUACCUGCAGUGCAAUUACUACGAAUAGAAAUUUAGAUUGCACUGUAGUGACACGGAUUUUAACAAAAAAAAAAAGUUUAAUGAAAAUAACUGCUAAUGUCGGUUUUGUACGAUUAGGAGAGGUGAUAAGCAAGCUUAUAUCUUAUAAGUUGCAAGUUGUGCCUCUUCUUUUUUUUUUCUUUUUUUUUUAUUUUUUUAAGAGAUAGAUAGCACGCAAUCCAUUUCGUUUAUUUCAUUUAGAAAUAAACUUAGCUAGAAAUGUGAAUCAACUAGGAUUUGAACUUAGGACUCCAGAUACCAACCACCAAAUUUUUUGCCACUUGCUUUAGAGAACUUAAUCCCCAAAAUUUGUUAUAUGCAUUCUUUUAGAGAAAAAAUAUAUCAUAAAUUAUAAUUUAGCUUCCCUCCUUACUAAAAGUUCUUGAGAAAAGAUAUUUAUUUAGCUCUCCAACUAACUGGUCAGAGAAUUUACUAAUAUUUUUCUUACAAUAUUUUUAGUAAUUAUAUAUAUCUCAUGAUAAAAUUAUAGGGUUAAUUUCAUUCAUGUUCCUGCAAAUAUAAUGAAUGACAAAUAUAUAUAUAUAUAUAUAGUAGGGCUACUGUGCUAUUAGGAACAUAGCAGCUCUUGUGUUCCUAACUUUCUAACCACCUAUCUAGUUUGACGAGUGAUUAAAAUAAAAGGAGAAAGAGAUAUUGAAGAGAAAUUCAAGGAGAAGAGAAAUUGAGACACACAAUUUCUCUCCAAUAUCUCUUCCUCCUCUCAUUCUAACCACCCAUCAAACUUGAUAGGUGGUUAGAAAGUUAAGAGCACAAUAGCUGUUGUGCUCCUAAUAGCACGGUAGCCCUGCUCUCUCUCUCUCUCUCUCUCUCUAUAUAUAUAUAUAGUCUCUAUAAAAGUCUUAUGUUUUCAAAUAUAUCCCCUGAUUUGUUACUGUUAGAGAACCGUUAGAGAACUGUUUAUAAUUUUAAUUUUGUUAUCACAAAUAUAUCCCUCCAAAAGUCAUACUAGUAUAAUAUAAAGGGUAAAAAUGUUAAAAAUUAACUAGGGUUAAAUAUUUAAUAUAUGGUUAACUAACUUUUUUCUAACGGAUUCUAACGACAGAAAUAUAUUUAAAAAUAUCAUAACUUUUGCAGGAACAACAUAUAAAAAUUAAACUUUGUAGGGAUAUAUUUACUAUUCGCUAUAUUUGCAGAAACAUGUAUGAAAUUAAUCCAAAAUUAUAUGAUUGAACUAUUAUUUACUAUAAUUUAUAAAAUUGACAAAAAAAAAAAAAAGAGGUGCUUAAAAUUUAUUGAUUCUGGCUUGGCCCCUAAAUGCAGCAUUAAUACCUGAUCUUAUCCGUUUCCUAUUGAAUUGCGAGGGCCCACAUGUUUGUUAGUUGGUAAAUUGAAUAACUAGAGAAGUGAAGCAGCACCACCAAAAGAUCACAUUUAGCCGACAUGAUACUAGUUAGAGGCUCUGAAAAGUAAUUGAUGUAACAUUUAACUCAUCCUACCCAGGCCUAGUUUGAUAAUACGGUAAUUAAAAUUAUUAUUUUUAUAUUAUAAACAAUUAAAAAAUAAAAAAAAUAAAAAAAAUUGUAUUGUAAAAUUACGAUUGCAACCAUUAUCAGAAAAAUAUUGACUACAUACUUUUCUAUAGUAUAAAAGUAAUAUAUUUAGCCAUCAAAUUAUCAAAUUAGGCUAUAAUAGAAACCAAAACACUAGUAAAUACGAGGGUUUUAAAAAUCCAACUAAAUUGACUGAAUUUGGUGGUCCAUAAACUGUGGUGAGAUGAAACAGACAAAUAAAUUCCAGCAAAUGCUGAUUGUUGGGCUCAGACCUGGAGCCUUUGAGGUGUAAGUGGGAAAACUAGCCCUAUAUAUAUAUAUAUAUAUAGAGAGAGAGAGAGAGAGAGAGAGAGAGAGAGUGAGUGUGUGUCUAGCUACUAACUUUUAUGAGUAUAGUUUUUUUUGUACUCAUUAGUUUUAACCUUUAGAUUUACUCUUUUGACCAUUUUCAUCCGUUAGAUUAUACUAUUCAACCAACUACUCACUCAAUCAUAAAAAACUACUAUCAUCUUAACAGCGGACUACUAUUAUCCUAACCACACAUUCUUUUAUCAAACGGUCAAAAAUUUAUGAGUAUAAAAGAAUUUAUACUUAUAAAAAUAUAAUAACUCUAGUCUAUAUGUAGGGUCCGGCUACUAUACUAUUAUGAGUACGAUCGCCUUCCUGCUCAUAAGUUAUUUUCGAUGAUAGAGCUUUCGAAUCAACGAUUCACACCGUUAAACGUUAUUUACAAUAUUUAAAACUUCUAUAAAUCAAAUUUUAUAAUUUUUUGACAUCAUUUACCUUACGAUCAAGAGUCACAAAUUUGACAAUUUUUAACGGCCGGUAUGGAUACUUGCUAGUUUAACGGUGUAAAAGAAUCGGAAUUUGUUGAAUUUUUUAUAGAAAAUUCUAUUCACUACAUAGAUAAAGAUCAAUAACUCCGAUCUUGAAUUGAAUGAUCUAAUCAUCCUUUUGUAGAACGUCGUUUGAUUUUGACCGUUCAUUUUAUGCCCACUUGAUGGACUUUAUUAUGAUUUCGAAAAUUUACGAAAUUUAUUUUCUAGAAGUUUCAAAUACUCUAGAUCAUAUUUAACGGAGUGGAUCGUCGAUUCGGAAGCUCUAUUAUCGAAAACAACUUAUAAGUACGAGGGCUUCAAUACUCAUAAUAGUAUAGUAGCCAUGACCCUAUAUGUAAUAGUAAAUUAACAAUUAUAAUUUAGGCAUGGAGCCUUUGCAGUCAAAUUCAAGUUGUGAAAUCAUCAGUAGAUAUGAAAGGGGAAUUUAUAAGAUGAUAUUAGAAAAAGAAAAAAAAUCACAUGGUAAAAUAUAAAACAUUAAGUUCAGUGGUGCAACUUGAUUUAAAAUUUUAAUUGAAUUUGGUUAAAAUUUUCAUCUAAAAUAUAGAUCCAAACAAAUUCUUCGUCUCCAAAUAAUGUUUCGGGACAAGUCCAAGUAUAUUAUUCUAACAAACCAGGUUAACAUUCCCAUUUUACGCCGAUAGUUUAAAAAGAAAAAUAAUUUUUAUUAAAUUAUUUUAACUCUAAGAAAUAUAAAUUUUGGUUUCUAAUUUGAUUGUGACUUAGCUCAACAGAUAUUUGACUAUCUUUUCUUUAAAUUUUUUUCAUGUAUUCAAUCACUAAUCAAUAUGCUUAUGCCUCAAAAUAUGACCCUCCGUAAUUGGACAAAAUAUACUAUUUAAAAUCAAGAUAAGAAGAUAUCAUUAUUUUUGAAUGGUAAAGAAUACAUUAGUUUACGAUAUUAUUGUAGCAUUGAUUAGUCUAAUAAAGUUUUUUUUUUAAUAAAUAGCAACUAGAACCUUCUGUAUACGGCCUUGCCUUUAAUUUAUGGAAAAUGCUACAUUAUUUUUCCAAUUUUAAAAAUCUCUUGAACCUUUUUUUGAAACAUUUAAAAAAUAAAUAAUGUGAAAUUUUUUUUGAUUAAUAUUAUACGCGCGUGUUUAUACUCUAUUAUCAAUAUAAAAAUACUCUGAAAAAAAUAAAAUAUUAAAAAUGAAGGGAGAAUUUCAAAGAAGAGCAAAGUUGAGGGUGUUUCGGUGCAUUUUUACCUAAUAAUUUCCGCCCCCGUCCCGAACGUGCCUGUGAGACCUUCUCCCACCUCUUCGUCUCUUUCCCAUUUUGUUAGGGCAAAAAUAAGAGGAUUAAGAACUAUCCACAACGAACCCCCUCCCCUCUUCUCCCUCCUCAGUUUCCAAACCCUAAUCCUCCGAUCCCCAUCUCCUGAGGAGAUCCCAAACUCCUCCGAUCUCGCGCUCGGGUGGGUGGGGACUGGGGAGGGGGCGAGGGGGGAGAUGACGACGUACGGCACGAUACCGACCUCUUCGUCCCCCGGGGGGGCGGGGUCGCCCCUCGGCUUCAUCUCGCGGGCGAAGGAGCGCGGCUACUCGGCGCUGGCGACGCGGCGGCCGUGGCGGGAGAUGGCGGAUCCGCGCGCCUUCGGGUUCCCCCUGAGCCUCGGCGAGGCCUACCUCCGGAUCCGCACCAACCUCGCCUACUUCGCCAUGAACUACGCCAUCGUCGUCCUCGUCGUCGUCUUCCUCAGCCUCCUCUGGCACCCGAUCUCCCUCAUCGUCUUCAUCGCCGCCAUGAUCGCGUGGCUCUUCCUCUACUUCCUCCGCGACGAGCCCCUCGUCCUCUUCGGCCGCACCAUCAGCGACACCAUCAUCCUCGCCGUCCUCGCCGUCGUAACCCUCGUCCUCCUCCUCCUCACCAACGCCACCCUCAACAUCCUCGUCUCCCUCCUCGUCGGGCUCCUCGUCGUCGUGGCGCACGCCGCGCUCAGGAAGACGGAGCAUCUCUACAUGGAGGAGGAGGCGGCGGGCCCAGGUAGGUGGUACACGUCGAUCGGAGAAGGGAGCAAACCAUCGACCUCCUCCCGAUCCUAGGGUUUCGUCCCCUCCGAUCUCGCACACUCUUCUUCUUCCUCCCCCGUGUAUCGUAAAUCGCCAUUACUGUGUAUUGUGUAUGCUCCUUUUGCAAUUCGAUCCGUGUGUUCUCCAUUUUAGGGCCUUUGUUUGGAUGGCGAGUGAGUGGUGAUUCAAAUUUGUUCUGUGGCUAAAAUUUUGUUGCUCUGGUUUGUGUUGAUCGUGGCGAUCAAUUUAAUUUAAAAUUUGGGGUAAAUUUCAAGGGGUUGAGUUGAUGAGAUUGGAGGAGAUUGCGUAUAACUACAAGUUAAACGAAAGCUAAUUAGAUGAUUUGAUCGGGAAACCUAUGUUUUGAAACUCCGCAAAAGUUUAAAUGUUUUAUUCAUUCUUAAAAAUUUUAGUUGAGUUGAUUGUAGCUAAAACUAAAAGAGGAAAAAACAAUAUUUCGACGAAUAAGAAGAUAAAUUACGAUUGGAAGCAGUUGAACACUAGAGGCUGAGAUCUGAGAGCAGUUAGUGGCGCGGCGCUGCUCUGCUCUGCAAAUAAUUAAAUGCAGCUGGCAUGGGCGUGGACUUGCUCGCUGGAGAGAGAAGUUAUUGCAGCGGAGUGGGGGGGCAGCUACUGCUGUAAUCAGCCCUCUUCUUGGAUGUCGUUUUGACAUUGGAUAAAUUUCAAUUUAUCAUCAUGCGGCACAAUAUAGCGUAUAUCCUUUAUUUUAUUACUGUAUAGUUCAAAAAUUAUAUCUAGUUAUUCUGUAAUUUUAGUUUUUGUUAAUAUAAAAACUUAUUGUCAAAUUAAAUACAGUCAUAUGAUUUUCAAAAAAGUUUACUUUAUUAUGCUAUUUGAUGGGUUUUUUUUUUUGUUAAAACAAAUUGCACCUGCAUUACCCAAUGGAUCGAGCACGAUGGGUUUUUGUGAGGAGUUAGCAUGUUGAUUGGCUCAGACCGAACUGAACAAUACUAUCCGAAGUGGAGUGUACAUCUUAUACCGCAUUUAUUUAAUGACUAUUAUAUUUCUCAAUCUGGCGAUGUAUGACUAAAUUUUUACCAUCAAUUGUGGGCAAUUUUGGAAAUAGACCCAGAAGUUUGUUCUUGCUUAGUUUAACACUUUUUUUAAAAAAACUUUUAUGCGUUUUGAUUUAAUUCCUUAUUUUAUAUUGGUUGAUUUAUAGAGAAUUAUUCUUCCAAAUUAAAGAUAUUUUUGGGAGGUAAAAAAAAAAAAAGUAGAUCCACACAAUUCAAAGGAUUAUGAUUUUUUUUUUUUUUUUUUUGGGGGCACUUAGGGNAUUUCAAAUGGGAUAUCGUUUAGGGGGGUCGGCGUAUAUUUUUACCAAACUAUCCGACGCGGAGAUCCUUCGAUCGAUUCGUGCACGGGGGGAGAAGCUGCUACCAUUUUUAGGGUUUCGGAGCAUCGGAUUUCGCGGAGAUUCCAUCGGAUUUGGCGAUUCUGAGGUCGCUUUUUCUCUGUGAUUUUGGGGCAAAAAUGUGUACUUGAGCUCGAUAUUGGUGUUACGAUCUACUUGGUUGUUUCAGAUCUAUGCAAAGAUCACGGAUUAGAAUUUUUUUUUUUUUUUUUUGUUCCGAGUUUUUUGAUGUGUUAAUGUUUCAAUUUUAUGCCCAAAGGUGUAACCUUUUUUGUUUUCUGGAAGGAAUUAAUUUUGGAUUUAGCUUGAUUCAGAUGUUUAUACGUGCUCAAGGCCUCUUUGUUUAGAUCUGAGGGCUAUAAUCUCCGGAUUAUGCGUUGCUACAGCAAAUGCAGGUUCGUGGAAUGCUCAAUUCCUUUGUGCUUUGUUGAUCUCUAAAUGUUUUGAUGGACCGCGAAAAUGACGGCUCUACGAGGUGCCAGAAACACCCUACUGAGAUCUUCACUGGUUUCUGUCCUUCUUGUUUGGUGGAGAGGUUGUCUACGGUCGGCACGAGCAACUCCAGGAGCGAGAUCGUAGAAGAGAUCUCAACAGAGAUCUCAGUUGCGUCCCCCGUUGCCGAGGAGAAGAAGCGCGGCGAAAUCAGGCGUAAAAAGACCCUCCUUUCGCUGUUUCAGUUGGAUGAUGUUGUUGAUAAUGGCGUGAAUGAGGAAUCUCUGAGGAAAGAGGUAGAGAGCUCGAGAAUUGGGAACAAUGGUGCCAGUUGCUCUGAAGCAGCCCCGUCGGGGAAUGUUGCGGCUGAUGAGAAGAUAAUGGUUGCUUUGGAUGAGCGGAAAUUGAACGGAAAAGGCAUGCUGUAUUGGUUGAGCUCGAUUUUGCCAAGGAAGGGAUUGACACGGGAGAAAGUGAAUACUUCGAACGAUGGCCGAUCGCAGGAAAGGUGUUCAAUUGAUCGCCCAAGAGAAACGCCGUUGGAAAGAAAGCCUAGUUUCCGGUAUUCUUGUGACUGGAUGGUGUGCCGAGAGUCGAGAAGGGGCUCAUGGGAACUCCCUAGGCGUUCGUGGGAUGGUUCAGUGGUGAGUAGGGCACUCGCCUGCUCGUUUGCCUGCCUUGAGGAGCGAAAAGAUGGGAUUAGAAGUAUAAAAGGAAAAUUAGCGGAGGAUAUUACGAGCAGAAACCCUAACCCAUCUGCUGAGAGUGGUGAUACAGCCAAAGCUAAUGGUCAGCCCUCGGCUGAUGAAUCCUCUGCGGAUUUAGCUAUUUCGAGAAUCAAUAGGAGAAAAUCACACAGAUGGAGCAAUGUGUGGGAUUGGAGUGUUACUAGCCCUUUGAGGGAUAUUGUAAAGAAGCGUGAGCGUGUGUUGGAGAGGUCUCUGUCCGAAUCUUGGAAGGAUGGGCGAAAGGAUAAAAUCAUAGAAGCUACAGAAGCUGAUAGUGGAGUGCAUGUUAAUGGGAACGGCUCAAGUUCGUCUAGAGAGAGCCAGAGUGUGAAACGGAAUGUGAAUGCUGCUAAUGAUGAUAUGCAGAACCUCAAGCCUGAUUGGCAAACGAAAAGAGAAAGCCGACUCGGUCGGAGUCGGAGUGUUCAUUACUCCUCUCCUGGAAAUGUAGAUAAUGGGCUGUUGCGCUUUUAUUUGACACCCUUAAGAAGCAGUAGAAGUACUAACAAAGGUAGGAGGAAAAAUUCACGCUUAUUUGCUAGAGGUAUAUUUGGGUUUUACUAAUAAGGGGCACUGUGCUUGAUCUAUGAGAUAAAGAAAAACUCCUGCAUCCAAGAAAACCCCUUUUGCUCCUACUUUGUUGUUGUUACGAAGGAUAGGUCGUCAGGACAAAUUAUUGACACCGCAAUUGUUUGCUACGGGAAGUGCUCAGUUAAUCUAAAUGCUUUCUAUCAAACUGAGGAAAGUUGCAUCAGAGAUGGAAUAACUUGGUUUCAGUAUUCAUGGUAUGUCCAAAGAGUUAUUCUUUACUGUUGUAUGUUAGUAUACUAUGUUCAGGUUAACUCUGUAGAUUAAUAGGAUGAUAUAAUUGUUUACUCGACAGAUAAUAAUGGAAAGGGUUAAUUGCAUACACGUCCCUGCAAACAUAAUGAAUUGCAGAUAUAUCCCUGCAAAACUCAAUUUCCAUAAGUUGUCCCUGCAAAAGUCCUAAUAUAUGCAGAUAUAUCCCUCUGGUUAGAAUUUGUUAGGAAACUGUUAAUUUUUUAACAGUUUUCUUGUGAAAUGACCUUUUUGCCUUCACAAAUAUAUCCCUCCAAAAUAUUCCCUCUUCCCCUUCUCUUUCUCUUCCUUUUCGGGCCGCCGGAGCGGACGGUGGCGGCGGGACGGCGGCGGCGGUGCGGGGUCGGGUUCGCCGGCAACGAAGAAGAGGGAAGAGAAAGAAGGAGAGGAAGAAGAAGAGGGAAGAGGAAGAAGGAGAGGAAAAGGGAGAGGAAGAGGGAAGAGAAAGAGGAAAAGGGAGAGGGUUCGCCGCCAACGCCGCCGCCGCAUCUCCUCCCUCGCCGGCGACGAAGAAGAGGGAAGAGGGAGAGGAAGAAGAAGGGCGAAAAGGAAGAGGGAGAGGAAGAGGGAAGAGUAAGAAGAAGAGGGAGAGGGUUCGCUGCCGCCGCCGCAUCUCCUCUCUCGCCGGCGACGAAGAAGAGGGAAGAGAAAGAAGGAGAGAAGAAGAAGAGGGUAAAAUUGUCAUUUCACUCAUUAAUUAAUCAUGGUUAAGUAUUUUAAUUAUGGUUAACGAAAUUUCUCUAACGGAAACUAACGGCAGGGACAUAUUUGCAUACAUUAGGACUUUUGCAGGGACAACUUAUGGAAAUUAAGUUUUGCAGGGAUAGAUCUGCAAUUCACUAUGUUUGGAGGGACGUGUAUGCAAUUAACCCUAAUGGAAAAGUUUCUGUCAUAUGUAGUCUGUUUUCUUCACUGUUUGUUCUAUAAAGUCAUUAUUUGAGCUUUAUUUGUUUCAAUAUUGCUGCGAUUAGCUGGGUCUAUUUACAUAGUUGCAUGUACAAUGAGCAAAAACUGAUACCUUUUCUUUUCUCUUCAACCCCUCCCUCCCUUCUCUGUUUAAUUAAUUCUGGCAUUUCUAUGUGCUAAAGCCAUGAAAUUCCACACAAAGUUCUCGAUCAAAGACUCAGUGUGUUACAUUGAACGUGAGUAAUUUGUAAUAGCUUUGUAUUUUUGUUUCUCUGUCAUACCUGGUGUUUUUUGUUUUUUUUUUGUGUGUUAUAAGUUGUUUUCUGAUGUAAUUUUAUUACCUUCUUGCUACGUCUCUAUGACAUGUUAUGUCCGGGUGUCACUAAAUAGGCCAUACCUUAUGCAUCACUUUGAUCUAGCUUACAUGUAUGACUUAUUUUCUUGAAUUUGGUCAGAACGUCUUCAUUUACGCUAAGCAAUGUCUCCGACCUGGGCCCUGCUGGUAAGAUUGUGUUGUGCAUAGCCUUUUAUGUUUCUAGGUAUUAUUCUAACACCAAAGUGAGAUAUCUGUGCUCUUUUGGUAGAUUUAUUGAAUGCGGACAUUUGCAUUCUAUGUCAUCUUCUUGUGAUAGUGGUUUGUCUUCACCAUCCAUGGAUAGAAAAUUUUUAUUUCUUUGGGGUCAAGAUACUGUUGUACUAUUUAGAGAAAAUUAACUGUUGGUUGGAACUUGGACUAGAGAGAUUGUGACGAAUACGUAGUGGGUAAUGGCAAGAGAUUAUAGAGGAUCAAUGAUGGUAUAAAUCUAUUUUAUUCAUAGUGAUCACCAUGGAAAGAAAUUAUAGAGGGUAAUACAGGUAAUAGAACAUACUUUUACAUCGCUUGAUUCAUCAAUAGUUUGAAGUUGAAUGAGAUUAACAGUGAUCUUCUUUAGAAUUAUUAUGUUUCUUCUGUAUAACAUCAGUUGGCAUUGUUGCUAGUUAAGAGUUUCGUAUCUCAAAAUCACCAGUUAUAUUAGUAAUAACUAAGGACGAUAUGUAGCACAACUUUGCAAGUUUGCUCUGUAUAUCUGUAUAGAAUUGUGUAUGUUUUGAGUUUAAUUUUUUCAAUUUUUUGCAUGCCUUUAAGGAAUUGUCUAUUCAGAGAGGACGUAGGAACAUAACUUAGUUCUCGAACUAACCUCACUCUUAGUUAGGGUUUUUUCGAGUCCAACAGAAGAUAGGAGUGAAGAGCUGAUAGAUGCCUUACCUGCAGAUUUUAAAGGAACAAUUUGGGUUUGACUUGCUUUAUUCAUAAGGGAUGUUGAUUCCUUUGUUGGGUUAUGUUUAUUUCCUAUUGUUUUCCAAUCUACUUAAAGAAGAACUUUCUUGGAGAUUCAUAAGAGUGAUUUCUUACAGAAGCUGUGCCUCACUGAUCCUUACAGCUUCUGUAAGUAAUCACUCUUUUGAAUCUCCAAGAAGUUUCUUCAUCAAGUAAAUUGGAAAACAGAAGGAAACAAACAUAAUUCAGAAAGGGGAUCAGCAUUACUCUUCUGAAUCAAACAGGUCAAAUUGACAUGUGCAAGGUUUGGGAUUACUUAUGAUCCUGUACACAGUGAUAAAAUGCAAGCUUCAAAUUGAAGCAAAAUCAUAUGCAAGAGCGUGAUUGAGACACAAGGUAAAGCGCAAGUGCGCAAGGGUGGCCUUUGUAAUUUAGCAAUUUUAUUAUACAGCAGAAUCAAUGCAUUAGCGGGCGAAUAAAUAGUCGAUACAAAGAUUUAUCAAGGACUACUAUAUGAUUGGAGUCAAAUCAAUUAGUUUUAUUUGUUAGCUUUUUCAAUUGUUGCAGAGUAAACCAGAUUUGACCCUACAGAUUCAACCUUCCGUUGAUGUUUCAUUUGAGGAUUUCCAGCAGCAGCAACAUAUUCCAAUUGAUAGAGCUGAAAUUGGGCAGGAGAAGGUGGGGUUUCAGGUCCCCUGAUUCAGUAACUUAGUCUGGGCCUAACAAUUCAAUUUAGGCUCAUUUAGAUUCAAGCUAUAGGUUGUUUCACCUUAACCCCACUGAAAUUGAACCUGAAAUUUCUAAAACUUGCCUUUUUCAUCUAUUAGAGAUUUAACAUCUUUUCACCUGGUUGGAUGAUUAUGACUAAUUUAUGAAGUUUGGAUGUUUUCUUAACUUUUGAAGUGGAUCAAAUCACAAUCUUGGUAAUUUGAACAAUAGAUUCUUUGGAAGUUCUAAUAUCAAAGCAGUGAAUAGCUAUUGUGCUUGCAAUCAUGAGAAUGGCAUUUUUUGAGAAAGUCCCAUUUUUUCUCGAGUAGGCUAUUGUGCUUUUAUGAGUAUGGAGGUCUUCGUUCCCGUAACUUGUUUUAUAUAAUGAGACUUCCGAAUCGACAAUCAAUUCUGUUAGAUUUGAUCUAGGGUAUUUAAAAUAUUUAAAAAUAUGAUUUUUUUGAUAUCAUUUACCUAGUGUUUAAAAGGGUUUAAUAUCAAUAAUUUUAAUGGUUAAUGUGAGUUGUUUACUAGUUUGACUGUGUAUAGAUUUUCAAAUCAAAUAAAAUUUUGAGAGAAAAAUUUUUAAUUAUUAACAGCAAAAUUAAUAUUUCUGAUCUAAAAUUUUGAUAUUAUAUUAUUACUUUUUGUGAGAUUGUUAUUUUCGGUCAAUGGUUUUGAGCCAUUUAUGUAACCGAUAUUAAAAAAUCGUAAAAUUUAUUUUUAAAAUACUUCAAAUACUCUAGAUUAAGUUUGCUAUAGCUGAUUGUCAAUUCAAAAAUUCUAUCAUAGAAAAUAAUUUAGGAGUAUGGAGGCUUUUGUGCUCCUAAAAUCAUAGUAGUCCUACUCUUUUUUCUUUUUUUUUUUUUUGGUUAACGGCUAAGGCGCAUGCUAGAACUUUCGGGCGCUCAAAAACUACGUGGCAGUAUGUGGUUAGUGAUCCAAACACCUGCCUAGUCUGCUUGAACCACAUCUUGGGCUCGUGCAGGGAAGACUGCGCGUCCGAUUAUUUAAUGAGUUGCACAACCAGUAUUCUCGGUUGAGCGUCCGGAAGGUAUUCGGACGCCCACGGAAGCCAUUUGGAAGGUGUUCCAUACGCCCGGAGGGACAUUCGGUUGCUUAAAAGUUUAAUCCUUCGUGCACCCGAGCUCUCAGGUAGAGCGUCCGGAAAAGGUUCGGACGCCUGCUGGGACCAUUCGGAAGGGUUUUCGGACGCCCGAAAGCUGACCUCUCGCGAGCCAACCCUCGAGUAGAGCAUCUGCUUGUUUUGGAUGCUCAACUGGGCCAGCGAAACAUUUUUUGGUUGCCCAAAGUCUUAUUCCGGGCACCCAAAACGUUUGGAACUCAGGUUCACUUCUUUCAUAACUCCGUUUCGAUCAAUUCGAUCCAAAUUCAAUCUGAACUUCCUCAAAUCCAUUUUAAUCAUGUCUACUUAAUCCGUAUUUUGUCAAUUUAGUCAAUGUUCGGUACAUAUAUAUUGCACGUUCACUUAGCUAGUAAUAAUAAGUAUGUCAGUCCACAGCAGCGGAAGGCCACAGGGACGUUAACAGACCCGCCGAAUGGACAUAAUUUUUUAUGUUCGAACGAAGCGCCAACAUAAUCUAGCAUUAGCAAAGUAAUACCGGAGAUCACAACUGAAAGUUUUUCCAAAUCACAAGAACUAGAAUAAGUGCUAAAUAAACAAACUACAUGUAUUAGAGAACCCCAAAAAGUAAAGUAAACAACAAACGGCCUUGGCCUUCACCAAUCCAGAGAUGUAGUACAGAACAACUCUCUAUCUGGUGGUCCUCUGUAGUAUAUGCACACUGGUAGGGGAUGCUAUCUAUUGCGCAAUUCUCUUAUCUCAGUCAGCGAAUGGUGCACUUGUCUCUGAAAAGAAAACCAUAAGAGGGUGUAAGAACUAUUAAACAGUAGUUUCCAGUGGAUACGAUUGGCGACAACCACCCACUAGGUCUACCUGAAGCGAGAAUAAGUGAAAAACAACUAAAUUUACUAUAAACUGAGCUACAGAGAAUACUAUGAAUAAUAACUCUUUAUUUUCUGUCAUGCUUCUACACUAGUAAUGAUCAAGAAGAGAAUGACUGAAUCAUGCAUAGAUGCUAGUACAAACAGAUAACUGCAAGAAGAAACCUAACCGCAAUGACUGUUACUGCGGAAGAGAUUACUAGCCGACAUAUUACUUCUCCGAGGCUUACUUGUAGAUCAACACUGCGUCUUCUGCGCGGUUAUUACAGAAAGCUGUGAUCACCUAUUCUAUAAUUGUGUUUACGUAUGAUACCUCCUCUUCAGCGCGGAAGGCUCGGUCGUAUUUGAUGGUACCACGAAUGACGUCCGAAGUCUUUGGGAACGAACUUCUACCAACCCUGCAAACUCUGAGAACACAAGGUCUGACCCUUUUCACAGCAAUCUGGUGGAUCGUUUGGGGGGGGGGGGUAGCAACAAUUCCAUCUUCCGGGGUAUCCCGACCGAUGCUUCCAGGUCUCUAGCUGCUUUCAACUUGUAUACUUAGUUCGUUUUGCUUAAUGAAUGAAGUAGAUAACUUGCUACCUUUUUCUCAAAAAUAAAAUAAAAUAAAAUAAAAUUCUAUUUUCCGAUACAAUUUACACUAACAUUAUCCUCUAUGAGCAUACAUAGCAUAUAGACAUGUAUUGGCAUCAAUGAAGAUAUAGUAGGAACUUCACUGUUUCCAACAACUCGUAACCCACCGCGAAUUGUUAAUCCGGUCACGGCAAGAAAUCCACCUCUCAUGCACCUCUCCUCGGCUCACGUCCCGCAGAGGAUCCACUUAGAAACUCUAAAAUCAGCAAGUGUACUAGCGAAAUAAAGAAAUAUUAAAUUUCAUCAAUUUGUAGGGGUGGAAACGAGCCGAGCUUGAGCGAGCUUAUGUCAGCUCAAAUUCGGCUUGAAAUUAAUUUCGAGCCUAAAUCUAGGCUCAAGCUCGGCUUGAAAUUAAUUCGAGCCGAGCUCGAGCGAGCCUAAUUUCGAGUCGAGCUGUGCUCGAGCUCUAAACGAGCCGAUUGAAAUUCUCGACAUUAUAUAAUCAAUAGUUUAAUUUUUAAAGAACAUUACCUACAAUUUGAUGCAACAUGUCCAAUAGUUCAAAAUACAAAAUAAUUAUAAGAAAGUAAGCUAUGGUGACUUCUUGACUUGAUGAUUUUAUAGAACAUUACCUACAAUUUGAUGCAACAUGUCCAAUAGUUCAAAAUACAAAAUAAUUAUAAGAAAUGUAAGCUAUGGUGACUUCUUGACUCGAUGAGGGUUCGAGAGAGAGAGAGAGAGAGAGAGAGAGAGAGAGAGAGAGAGAGAGAGGAAAAAAAGUAAGGAUUUGAAAAUUUGAAUGUUAUCAUGUUUUAGGGUUAUGUGCAACAGUGAAAGUCUGAAAGAGAGAGUGUGUUAUGUAAAUUUAGAGUUGGGCUUAAUUGCACGUUUGUACUUGUUGGGUUUAUUUUAUGGGCCAACAAUAAUGGCCCAAAUUAAAUUAAAGCCUAUAUAUAAUUAAAAUACAUUAUAUUUAUAAAUAUUAUAUAUAUAUAUAUAUAUAGAGUCCGGCUACUAUAUUUUUAUGAGUAUUGGCUCCUUUAUACUCAUAAGUUUUCGACCCUUAAAUUUAUUCUAUUAAUCAUUUUCAUUCGUUAGAUCAUACUAUUUAACCAACUACCCACUCAACCCUAGGGGACCACUAUCAUUCUAAGUGGGGACUACCAUCAUCCUAACCACACAUCCCAUCAAUCAACGGUUAACAAUUUAUGAGUACAAGGGGGUCUAUACUCAUAAGAGUAUAGUAGCCCCGGCCUAUAUAUAUAUAUAUAUAUAUAUAUAUAUAUAUAUAUAUAUAGAGUGAGGCUACUAUGCUAUCGGAAGCACGGAGCCUUCCGUGCUUCCAGCUCNCGGCUUGAAAUGAAUUUCGAGCCUUUUAUUUUGUUCAAGCUCGGCUCAUUUAAUUUCGAGUCGAGCUCGAGCGAGCCGAAUAUCGAGCCAAACACGAGUCCAACGCGAGCCGGCUCGCUCGUUUGCCAGCCCUAGGGGCACUAUUGCAUAUUUUGUGGUGGUUGGUCCCUAAUGGAUUGGGUGGGCCCAGUCCAACUACAAUCCGUGAGCCAAGCCCAACCUAAACUCCGUAUUGGGCCUUUUGAUUUUGUAACUCACUUCGUACUCAUCGAGCCGUUCUGGCCCGUUCCCGCCGUUCGCUUCUCCUCCUCUCGCUCUCCGCGCCUCUCUUUCCUCAUCGACCCUUUUGUUCCCAACCCUUUUAUUCUCCCCGUUCACAGGGAGGGGGCGAAGAGAUAUUCCGAUUUUCCGGAAUAACUAUCCCUUUUUAUUCUCGCUCGUCGCGGAUUGGUGGAUGAGUAGGGCGGAGGAGGAAGCAGAAGAGGAAUAGGAGCUCUCUAAUGGCCGAUGCUCUCCUCCGUUAUCCCCUUCUCGCCCCUUAUUCCUAUUCUUCUUCUUCUUCUUCUUCUUCUUCUUCUUCCACCCCUCGCUUAUCCCCCGUUUGUUCGACCUCCCCGAGAAUAAGGCUCUCGCGGCGCCCGAGAUUGGACGCCGUUGUCGCCGCCCUCGCGCACCGGCCGGGGCGAUUCGCUCGUGUCAAGGUAUGGAUUAGGUUUUAAUCUUCUGAUUCUCGCGUUAUCCUGAUGAGAAAUAUGGGAUUUUUAGGGCUUUUUUUACGGAUAAUUUGGUGGAUAGUGCUUGGAUUCAAUAGGAAGUGUCGCUUAUGAUGUGAACUUUGAGAGUAACGAUUCAGAGUACCAUACUACCACAAGGGGCAAAAACACUGGAAUUUAAUCGGAAAUUGUGAAAAAAGGGGGCAUUAAAGUACUUAGAAGAGACUAACAGGGCUUUUCGGUCGUAGGAAUAGCAACAGAGUUGUGAAUCUUAUCCACUGCGCUCAAAAUUUGGGGCAAAAAAUAAUUUUUCUUGUUCAUUCUGUGAGUGUAGGAAUAUUGUUAAUGCCAUUUUUUAAAAAUGAAAAAAAGAAUAUUGUUUGAUGCCUUGUUCUUCUAUGAUUUUAGGUCCAUGCAGUUGUGGCAAAUAAGGAUGAACCAAAGUGGUGGGAAAAGAAUGCAGGACCGAAUAUGAUUGAUAUUCAUUCUACGCAGGAGUUUUUGGAUGCGUUAAUGAAAGCCAGUGACAGGCUUGUCAUUGUCGAAUUCUACGGCACCUGGUGCGGUUCUUGUCGUGCUCUCUUCCCAAAGGUGAUUCCUUUGUUUUUCAUUGUCCUCUUAUCCAUGUCUUUAGAUUCUCUGUUUAACCAUAGUUUAUGUUGAUGAGCUUGUGAGUAUGAAUUAUGAAAUAGAUGUAGUUGUUAUUAUAAUUGGUAGAAGUAGUGUAAUUAUUUACAGCUUUUACUAUCAUCCUUUUGUCUUAUUGAUCGUGUUUUAAAUAUUCCCCCUUUUUUCCUCCUAGAGGAAAGAAGAAAGGAAAAAUGAUUCCCAGGCGUCUCCGUACUGCUAGUUUCGUUGGCCUAGAGAGUGUUGAAGUAGAAGUUGCAUUUUGAUAACAAUUUUUUUCCUAGAAAGCAGCUGAGCUGUUAUUGUGUAUAUGUCAAGAAGAAAAUUGUAGAAACUCAGGUUGGUCGGUUGAAUUUAGGUGGACACAUCUAUCUUGCAAGGUGAUGAGAAGCACGCAUUGUCUCUCUUUUAGACGCAAUUUAACAUCUUCACUUGCUUCUUUUUUUUUUUUCAGUUGUCUAGGUUUCUGCAUUUGUCAAGGAAGAAAAAGUGUAUAAAUAGAAGUGUAUAAACAUAAACAGACUUUUGGUCAGUUCUUACUCCAUUAUGUAGCUUGCUCUUGGUUCUUAAUCCAUUUUUUUAUCAGCAUCGAGAUAUAUCUGUUGUUUAAUUUCUAUCUGGUUCAGGACCCUAAAACUACAUUAAUUGCAUAUGUUCUCUAUUACAUUAUUACAUACAAGGCAAGCGAAGGGAAUGCAUUUUUGUCAGUUGGCGGGCAGCUAUCACCAUCGCCUUCCUACUUUUUUAUAUGUUAAGUAGGAGGUUUGAAAUGAAUUUUUAGAUGAUAAUCAUCUCAGUACUGUAGACCUACCUUCUUAAAACUAACUCAAUCUUAGGCUACCUCUUUUAUGUUCCAUACUGCAGUCUAAUUUACUACCAAAUAUUUAUUUGCCAUGUUUUCAUCUUGUAAUCUUUCUCUUUUUUUUUUUUUGUAUAUUUUGCUCCCAUGCCACCUUAUAAAAAUGACCAUGAUGUUUGAAGAUAUUUGUUCAUAUGUUUCGUCUCCUAUGGAGCAAGAUAGCAUGCAUCUUUUGCUGCAUGCCUCAGAAUAUGGGGACUAGUUGAAGUAAUGGGCCUCCCUAAUCGGAAGACACAUAUCGUCAGUUGAAUUACAAAUGCGUUUUCUCCUGCUCAUGAUAAGCGCAGUUCGCAGCGCCCCUCUAUGUGCGUUUUCUUUAAUCAUUGCAUUUGCAACUCGCACAAUGAUCAAGAAAGGUCAAAUCUGACUUCCCUAUUUGUGAACAAUCUUUCAUUAUUGCGAAAGCUGGUUAAGUUGGUUUUGUCAGCACAUAAUUUACCAGUAAUGAUGAAGGUGUCUUGAAGGGUUGACGUAACUUUUGGAGGAAGUAGUUAGUAAAGAAAAGGCACUAGUUGGCUUGACAAUGUUCUUACAUAAAAUGUAGCUGGCCGACCACAGUAAAAGUUGGGAAUAACGAGUUAUUAUUCUUGUUUAGUUUCUUCAAGUUGUAUAUUCUUUCUUCCUUCCUUUUCCUCCUAGGCAUCCAUGUCAUUAAUAUACUUUCCUACAUCCUUAUGCAUGUUAAUGCAGCGAGACAAGUAUAUGAAAAUGUCAGUUUCUGAUGACUAAUUUUCUCUUGCAUGAUCUUUCAGCUCUGCAGGACAGCUGAAGAAAACCCUGAUAUCGUAUUCUUGAAGGUGAAUUUUGACGAAAACAAGCCUAUGUGUAAAAGGUUGAAUGUUAAAGUCCUUCCAUAUUUUCAUUUCUACCGUGGAGCUGAUGGAUUGUUGGAGUCCUUCUCCUGCUCCUUAGCCAAGGCAAGUAUUUCUUGUUAGGUUUUUAGUUCUUUUGUGAGCUUUGAAUUUUCGGUUAUAUUGGUUCUAUAAGCCAUAAAUUGUUGAUUUGUAACUAAUGUUGUUAUCAGUUGCUUCUUAUUUGUGAAAAAAAAUCUCUAAAUAUUGUCUCUUUUUCUUGCUUUUCUCAUUUCUUUUUAAUAUCUAAGUUGUCACAAGGCCUAUUGAUAAAACAUUCACGACCGUUUCCCUUUGAAUUUUUAUUGCUCAGUUCUUUUUGCAUGCUAUGAUAGUACAAAGAAAAAAUAUAUAUAUAUAGUGAUAGUAGUGCUUGGAGCAUCUAAGAUGCUAUUUUAAUUUUGGACUAGAAUUAACUACUAGUUCAUAAAAUGGUCUGAUAGAGAGGGAGGGUAUCUUCCUUAAGUACGGGGCUAUGCAAUCUUGUUUUUGCUAACUGGGGGCAAAUAGGGAACCUAUAUUACCAAAUUAUUAUUAUUUUUUAUAUAUAAUUCUGUCACUCCCAAGAAUCAUUCCUUGAUGCUGGAAUUUGCCUUGAAUUUUCAUGUGGAUAUCUUUGUGCUUCUUUUUUGUCUUUUGGGGUGUCCAAACUACCUAGUUCAUUUGAUUAAACAUCAACCCGUGAAUUACAGUUCCAGAAAAUAAAGGAUGCUAUAGCAAGACACAACACCGCUCGAUGUAGCAUCGGCCCUCCUGCGGGAGUUGGGGAUCUGAGCCUCCUUGAGAACCCAAGCCCGCCGGAGAAACCAGCGGAAGCCGGUUCCCGGUAGUUCUUCGUGUCUUUUUAUUGUUUCUCUCUCUCUCUUUCUCUCUCUCUCUCUCUCUCCUUUUUUUUUUCUUUUUUUUUUGUUUGCCUCACUGAUUUCAGUACGUCAUUGUGAGCUUGUCAAGAGAAAAGGCCCCCUUUUUCUUUAGGAAAGGGAGGAAACAAAACACCCAACUCUUGUUGUACCAUCUUUUGAUUUUGUAGCACUACAAAUUUAUGUAUUAUAAUUUAUAUUUAUCACUUUUUUUUUUUUUGUCACAAUUACUUGAUCUGUAUGUGACUUGAAGAAUACACAUGCUGUGUUGUUCUAGUAAUGUUCAAUAAUGGUUUCCGUUUUGUAAAGAUUGUUGGGAAUAGCUCUUGAACUACUGCUGAUUAUUUCGAAACAAGAUUAGGAUUACAUUAAGUUGAAAGAACCAUGAUGAUCUAUUAUAAACCCUUUCAUCAAACUUCAACUGUGCACAGUUAAUAGCUUCAUUUUUUUCAUUUAGGCCUUGUUUAACUCUAGUCAAGAUAUAAAUCAUUACUCUCCUUAUUUGUUUCAGCGCAGGGUCUGGCUUUUAGGAUUAAAUAGGAUAAAAAUAUUGUUCGUCUUAUUUGAUUUUUUUUUUUUUCUUAAUUUUGGGCGUUGAACGGACUCAAUUCUCAUUCGCUUAACAAAAAUUAUAAAAUUUGUUGCAUUAUUACAAUGCAAUUUCAGAGGGGUUCAAAUGGUGCUUGUUAUUUGUGAUUACCGGGUCAUAUGGUUUGCCCUAGUCAUGUUGAUUUGGUAAAAACAAUUUAAUGUUUUUACCUGCAACGUCGAUCUACCAAAGACUUUUGUUGUAAAAUAUCUCUAAGUACUUGUUUUUGAGUUAACUGGGACAAUGUAAUACCCCAAAACUACGGGAUCCGCUGCUUGGUUAAGUGAACAUCACCAUUUGAAUAAGAUAAAUUUAAUGUUAAGUAGUCAAUGUUUGAAAUAUCGUUUGACGCUUCACAAAGAUACUUAAGCUAGAUUUGAUAGUGAAUAAAUUAUAAAAUAACUCUACGGACUCUAGCUCAAAUUUAUUUAUAUUGUUCCCAAAGGGUAAAAAAAAAAAGAAAAAGAUUUAGCUCUACUUUAAUCAGUCUUACUAAGUUGAUCGAUCAAGUUUUGUCAUUAAUUUCAGAGUAUAAAGUUAACAGGUGUGUAACGCAUUAUGUAGAGAGAAUCGCUGAUACGUUAGUAGAGAUCCCAAAUAUUAUAUAAACUAGUAAAAUACCCGCGCGAUGAUGUUGCAGAUAUAAAAAUAUUUUUAUAAUAAGUUUUACUUUUUUUAAUAUUUUUAUUACAGUUUUAUAACUCUAAUUAUUAAUUAAAUAAAAGUUAUAUAAAAAUAAUUUAAUAGUUAAAUCUAUUUAAAUAAAAUUUAUUGAAAUUAGUAUAUGUGCAAAGUAAAUUUAUACAACAAUUUAUUUUAUAAAGAUUUAUAUGAAAAAGAUUUGAGAUAAAUCUAUCAAAAUAAUUUAAAAAAAAUUAAUAAAUAGAAGAAAAAUAAAAUUGUAGAAGAAAUUGUUUAGUAAAAUUUAAUUUUAUAUAUAUAUAUAUAUAUAUAAAAUAUAUAUAUAUUAUACUAUAUAUAUAUUAUAUAUAUAUAUACACACACAUUAUAUUUCUAAAAUUUACGUCUGAAAUUUAAAUUCUGUAUUUUUUUUAUACAGGGAUAUUUUUAGCGUGAUUUAAAUUGCAUCUAUCAGGUUUAGAUUUUAUUACGCAUAUGAUAAUAAAAUUAAUUAAAGUAUAAUAUAUUUAAUUAAUUAUUAAUAAAAUUAAUUAAUUAAUUUCAUAGAGUUUAGAGAUUUAAAAUUUUAAAUUUUGAAGUUUAAAAUUUGAAAAUAAAUAUUAUAAGUUAAAAUUAAAAUUUAGAAUUUAAAAUUUAAAAAUUUGAAAGUAUCAAAAUUUAAAAUUAUAUAUAUAUAUAGAGAGAGAGAGAGAGACAGAGAGGGAGAGAGAGAGAGAGAGUAAAGGAGGAUUUUGGGGGGACAAGUGUCACCCUUUGGUUUAAAAUUUAAAAUUUAAAAUUUAAAAUUUAAAACUUAAAAAUUUGAAAGUAUCAAAAUUUAAAAUUUUAUAUUAUAUAUAUAUAUAUAUAUAUAUAUAUAUAGAGAGAGAGAGAGAGAGGGAGAGAGAGAGUAAAGGAGGGUUUUGCGGGGACAAGUGUUACCCUUUGGUCCCCCAAACCCUCAUUUAAUAUAGUAGAAUAGAUUUACCAACACAUUAAUGAUUCUUAUAAAAGCUUCAUGAGAGAUACUAAUUUUUUUAUUCUUAAUUAGUUAUUUAUGAGAGCAUACUCAUUCUUCUUCGUACAAUAAUUAAGACAGCGCAUGCCUAUAAUUUCUUGUGCGAGUAUUUUCUGGGUACCAGGCAAUUUCGAUGCUACCAUCGAUUAGACAAAAAGACCACCAUAUGCAUAGAAUUUGCACAUCCUAAUCUUUGAGUUCUGGUCAUACCACGAUCGCUAUCAAUUCGCCAACGCAUUUAUAUUAUGUACUGAAAAAUUAUGAACACGAGCUUAUAUGAAAAGUGACCCCAAAUCUUAGGUCAUGUUUGUUUCCCUCUCUAUUCAUGAAUAGACCCUAUAGUGAUAGGGAGCGCAAAAUUUUCUACAGCCUAGAAAAUUCGUCAGUCCACUAGGAAUGUUGGAAAUGGAAUAGAAACAUUCACACUUUGCUUUCAAAUUCAUGUGUUAUUGAGUCAAUUUUGUUCAAUUGUGGAGUUCAAAUUAACUCAUCAACUUGUUCAUUAGCAGUACUGUACUACUGAUGCAUGAAAAGUUAUAAGUCAUUUCAUGGACCUGGUCUAUUAACAGUAACAGCACCAAUCAAAGCAUGAAACGCAGUAUUUGGUGGCCAUUAAAAAAAUAGAAAAUGCUGUUGUAUCCUUGGAUUCUCCAAUUUCUGAACAAGUAAAUAUGUUGCAUGAUUAAGAAAUUUUAAGUUAAGUUUUGGCCAUAAUAACACGCUAGUAUGAAUAUUUUGGCGAAUAAUACCUCUGAUGUAUGCUCAAAUAUGAAGUUCCAAGAAGCUAUUGUAUCAUUAGAUAUUUGGGGGGUCUACGGAUAAUAUGGUGGACUAAGUUAUCUGUUUUUAUUUCCUUUGUUUUUCCUCUCUUUUUCAUGUAGUGGCAUUACAAAAAAAAGGGGUAAACUCCAAAUAACAUUUAUGUGAUUUCGCAUUUUUUCACUUUACUAUUUUAUGAUUUAAAGUGUAUCAAGUUAGUGUCAUGUGGUUUCAUUUUUAUCUUUUCGUCUGCUUUUUCGUUAAUAAUAUUUUGUUAAAUUAUAUACGAAAAAACUUCAGAUACUUUACUUAGGUUUAUCGAAUAUUCACUUUAAUGCCAUUUAGUUUUAACUUUGUCACUGAUUUAACGAAAAAAAUUAGUAAAAUUGAUAAUAAAAAAAUAAAAAUAAAAUCACAGAAUACUAAAUUGAUACACUCUAAAUCAUAAGAUACUAAAGUAAGAAAAGUUAAAACUACAGGGGUGAUGUUAGAAAUUUUUCUACAAAAAAAUGCUAAAAGAAAAGUAAGAGUGAGUACAAGUUGUUGGGCGUAUGGAGACACAAAUGGUACUCUCUCCUUCCCAUAUAAUUUUCAAUCCCUUAAAUGGGUCGUCUUCUUUUUGUACCGUAUUUAUUCGUGAUUUUGGGAAUCGAAUCUCAUUUCGCCAACGUGCCAAAAUAAAGUUCUCGCACUUCCCAGCAAGUGCACAUUAUUUUCUGCAGAUCUGAUGAGCAAAAACUUCUCCUGCACAGUUUGAUUUGACGUCUAUGUAAAGUCGAUGAAGUUCACCUCAACUGCUGCUUCAGCCAAACAGGACUCAGACUAAUGAGCGAGAUGGUACGUAUUUGUACAGUAAAACUCGUAUGCUUCUCAAAGUACUGAGUUUUCCGUAUUUGUAAAUUAUUUUUUAUAUUAAAAUUUUUAAAUUGACGAUCGGCUCCGUUAGACCUGAUCUAGAGUAUUUGAAGUAUCUAAGAAAUAAAUUUUGCGAUUUUUUGAUAUCAUUUGCCUAGUGAUCGAAGGAGCUCAAAAUCAACGGCUGAAAAUAAAAAUCUUACAAAAUGUGAUGGUAUGAUAUUAAAAUUUUAGAUCAAAAAUAUUAAUCUUGUUUUAUAUAGUAUAAAAAAUUUCCUAUCAAAAUUAUUGAUUUUGAGGCCCUUCGAUCACUAGACAAAUGAUAUCGAAAAAUCACAAAAUUUAUUUUUAGAUAUUUCAAAUACUCUGGAUCAAAUCUAACGGAGCAUAGCGUUGAUUCGAAAGUCCCAACAUCGAAAACGACUUGAAAGCACGAAGAGCUCCGCGCUUACCUCACUCGGUAUUUGUAUUUCGUAUAGCGAGAAAAAUUUAGAGUGAGAGAGAAUUUUCUACAAAUAAAGUUCUGAAAGAAUCUAUACCUUUCACAAUAGAGAGGCCCAUCUGAAGACAUAGUUUAUAUCUAAAUCAUCAGAUCAGCCGACCAUCAGUUUAUAGCCAAUAUAAAAAUAUUCUUGAACUAAAGACAGAAGAUUUGAUCAACAGUGUGCAAAAAUUUUCGGUGCAUUGAAUCUUCUAUAGUAAAUCUACAAGACUUGCGAAAUUUUCUAUAAUGGCUUAAAAGAGGACAGAAAGAUUUCCAGUUUAGCUUUGAUUUUUCCUAUUGACAUCUUGACUAGCAAGCAGCCUUUUAUUUUGGUGACUAUACACCAGUGAUAAACAUUUCCAACUCCUCUUGGUUGUCCUUUAUUUCUGUUUUCUAAUUUUCUUUAAUCUAUUAAUAUAGCUUAUGGUCAUAAUUGGUCAAAGGUUUAAUUAAGGAGUUUUUUUUUAAAAAAAAAAAAUUGUGCAUGAGUGUGUAAGAAAAAAAGAUACGAGAAUAUUUAACUUUUCAAUAUUUACUUUAUAGUUCUUUGAUAGUCUAUAAAUUUUUAAUUAAUUUUUAAAACAUAUAGACAUAUCUUGUAAUUUAGUAGGAAUGGAUAGCUCAAUUUGAUAUCUGAAUUGAGUUAGUGUUAAUUAAUUAAGCAAUUAAUCUCGACCUAACCACAAUUUGAAUUGUACUAAGCUUGGCUAACCACAAACUAGCCCAUACAAAUCCCAUCUGUUUUAAUCCCUUCUAAUCAUACACAAGCAAGAGAAGUGCGAAGUAGGAGACCACCUUUUUUUUUUUAAUUAUUUUUUAAAGUAGAUAAAAUUUGGAGUGAUCUAGCAGAAAAAAAGAUGGUGCCUUAAUUAGGGGGACGGAAACUAGCAUUGUACUGGAGCAGAAUAGAAGGGUCUUGGAGAAUAAGAAGCUCACUUCGAGACAAAUGGUUGCAGAUAUUCGCUCUUUCAAAAACCUAAAGUCUGUACUGUGCUUGAAUUUCUUUUUUUUUUUACCCUGAAGCUUGAGUGUCUCAUUCUAUUGCUUAAUUCACCUUCUAAAUAAAUGAAAUAUUAAUAUAUUAUCUUUUUUUCAAAAGAACUUCUGAAGGAAUUACCAAUCCACCUUAUCAUAGACGCAUAAGAUGCCUGAUUUCAAGCAUUUAUG